ACGGAAGGCAGCAGUGGGGAAUAUUGCACAAUGGGGGAAACCCUGAUGCAGCAACGCCGCGUGAGUGAUGAAGUAUUUCGGUAUGUAAAGCUCUAUCAGCAGGGAAGAUAAUGACGGUACCUGACUAAGAAGCUCCGGCUAAAUACGUGCCAGCAGCCGCGGUAAUACGUAUGGAGCACGCGUUAUCCGGAUUUACUGGGUGUAAAGGGUGCGUAGGCGGUAUGGCAAGUCAGAUGUGAAAGACCGGGGCUCAACUCCGGGGCUGCAUUUGAAACUGCCAGACUGGAGUACAGGAGAGGCAGGCGGAAUUCCUAGUGUAGCGGUGAAAUGCGUAGAUAUUAGGAGGAACACCAGUGGCGAAGGCGGCCUGCUGGACUGUUACUGACGCUGAGGCACGAAAGCGUGGGGAGCGAACAGGAUUAGAUACCCUGGUA
rnacentral:rRNA from 1 species